CCAGUAGGGAAUAUUGCUCAAUGGGGGAAACCCUGAAGCAGCAACGCCGCGUGGAGGAUGAAGGUUUUAGGAUUGUAAACUCCUUUUGUUAGAGAAGAAAAUGACGGUAUCUAACGAAUAAGCACCGGCUAACUCCGUGCCAGCAGCCGCGGUAAUACGGAGGGUGCAACCCUUACUCGGAAUCACUGGGCGUAAAGAGCGCGUAGGCGGGAUAGUCAGUCAGGUGUGAAAACCUAUGGCUUAACCAUAGAACUGCAUUUGAAACUACUAUUCUAGAGUGUGGGAGAGGUAGGUGGAAUUCUUGGUGUAGGGGUAAAAUCCGUAGAGAUCAACAGGAAUACUCAUUGCGAAGGCGACCUGCUGGAACAUUACUGACGCUGAUUGCGCGAAAGCGUGGGGAGCAAACAGGAUUAGAUACCCUGGUAGUCCACGCCCUAAACGAUGGAUGCUAGUUGUUGGAGGGCUUAGUCUCUCCAGUAAUGCAGCUAACGCAUUAAGCAUCCCGCCUGGGGAGUACGGUCGCAAGAUUAAAACUCAAAGGAAUAGACGGGGACCCGCACAAGCGGUGGAGCAUGUGGUUUAAUUCGAAGAUACACGAAGAACCUUACCUAGGCUUGACAUUGAGAGAAUCCGCUAGAAAUAGUGGAGUGUCUGGCUUGCCAGACCUUGAAAACAGGUGCUGCACGGCUGUCGUCAGCUCGUGUCGUGAGAUGUUGGGUUAAAACCCGCAACGAGCGCAACCCCCUUUCUUAGUUGCUAACAGGUCAUGCUGAGAACUCUAAGGAUACUGCCUCCGUAAGGAGGAGGAAGGUGGGGACGACGUCAAGUCAUCAUGGCCCUUACGCCUAGGGCUACACACGUGCUACAAUGGGGUGCACAAAGAGAAGCAAUACUGCGAAGUGGAGCCAAUCUUCAAAACACCUCUCAGUUCGGAUUGUAGGCUGCAACUCGCCUGCAUGAAGCUGGAAUCGCUAGUAAUCGCAAAUCAGCCAUGUUGCGGUGAAUACGUUCCCGGGUCUUGUACUCACCGCCCGUCACACCAUGGGAGUUGUGUUUGCCUUAAGUCAGGAUGCUAAAUUAGCUACUGCCC
rnacentral:rRNA from 1 species